rnacentral:lncRNA from 1 species
AGCCAAGGAGGUGGGUCUCAUACAAAGACCAUGAGGGCCCCGGGCCCAGCAUGAUGGGAUGGUGGGCCUGGCACCCAGUCCCAAAAGCCUUGCUCCCUUCCUUUCUCCUGGAUAACCCACCUCUGCCUGCCACAGACACCCAGAACCCUGCUGCCUCCAUCUUGCUACUCAUGCAGUGAGAUGAGAGGCCUGAGCUCCAAUCCCACCCCUGCCAUUUCUCCAGCCAUCCGCUCUUGGGCAAGUGACUUCACCUCCCUGGGCCUCAGUCUCCAUUUGUGAAUGGGGCCAUAAUUCCCACCUCUCAGGGGUGUGGGGAGAGUCAAGUGACAUAAUGACCCAGGUCAACAGGGUCAAGUUCAAACUCAGUGUGUGAACCGGCUGGCACCUGCUUAGCUUUCUAGCCCCACACCCUCUCACUCUUGGGUGACCCCUUUCCCUGGCCACGUCCACCUGCUUGGAGGUCCUUGAACUU